GUGAAUCAUCAAAUUUUUGAACGCAAAUUGCACUCUCUUCGGAGAGUAUGCCUGUUUGAGGGUCAGCCUAAAAAAAAUCGACGUAGUCGCUGUUUCGCGGUGUCAUUCGUCGGAAAUUGGGUCAUCUUAAACCUUUGGGCUUUUUAAGCGGCUUAAAAUUUUCUUUACGACUUCACGAACGUUUCUAAGAUUUUACUUCUUCAAAAGGUUUAAGGAAGCGAUCUUGAUUAGC
rnacentral:misc_RNA from 1 species